AUAAUAUGGACUUGCAAAACACGGUAACUCCUUUCAUCAAAGCAAACUUGAUUCAGCUGCAAAAUCAAGAGAAAUCUGAAAACGGGUGAAUUUUUUUGUGAUUUUAGAUUUUAUUAAGGUUGUACAGAUCUUUUGCUCCAAGACUGCUCAUUCCAAGACUGCUUUUUAAUCUACUAGGUUCACUCCCAGCUUUGUUCAUCUCUCCAAGGACAACCACUUUUUCUCGUAGCACCACUGAAAACAUGACUAGAUUCUCUUUUAUAAUGAGCAAAUAAAUCAAGCUCUUCUUUGGAGAGAACCAUCUUCAUCUUUUUAAAAAUAUGCUUCCUGAAACCAUGUGUUCAGUCUUUCACAUAUAUGUUUUAAUGGUCUAAACUAUAGAUAAAAUUACAUGAUGCAGUUUUAGCAUUUUCUAGGCAUUAUUUUUCAUGGCCCUAAGUGAGGGAAUAUCUCAGGUGGCUCCUUCCACCUUCUUCCUAGCUCUUGAUUUUCCCACACACAUAAACGUAAAUUCCUUCCUAAAGUGCAGACUCAGUUGUGUUUCUAUAGUUCAGGGCAUGUCACCCUGUUAAAUUUUAAUGACAAUACGAUUGAAAUUUGGGGGAUUAACAACCACGUGGCAAUAAUUCAGCUGAUACCUACUUUAUUUGCACCAGUUCUUCCAGCCUUCUCUGUACAAUGAAUAACUGAAAAGCACUGAAGAGCUGAAGGCUGUUUCUAGGAUACAAUGUGCAGCACUUCCUACUCUUGGCUCACUCUAACUUCAGCCUCUCAGCUCUGUCAUUUUUUUCUGUCUAUGAAUUUUAAAUAGUUUUUGCCACCAGAUAGUGAGCUGAAAGCAGUAGCAUUUGUCCCAACUGUGGGUGGGAUCACCUUGCUACCAUGGCAAAAUCGAAGGGGCUGAUCUUCACAAGGACUUUGAGAUAUCUGCCUUCAGGGUCACUCUGGGACACUCUGAAGUCUUACGGCCUCGGAGACUGUUUCCUCCUACAGAGGUACCUCUCUGAUCUAUGUAGUUGCGUUUACAUUGAGCUCCCAAACAGUGAAAUAACUUGUCAGCCUUAAACACUACAUAUGAUAGAGAAAAGUCAGUGGUAAUAACUUCUGAGUUGUGUGAAUGAAUCUAUAUAAGUGUCAUGAAUUAAAUGAAUGAUUAGCUACACACAGAAAGAUAUUUCCUCUUCCAGUUUCUUGAGAUUUUAUUAAUUCCUCAUAGGAUAAGUUACUAUGUUCUUCAUUUCAGAGAAAAAAAAAAAAAGUUUUUACUUCUGAAGUGUCCUCACUUCCCAGCAGGUAAAUACCAAAGGAUAAAGCACCUAAACACUAAGCAAAAUGACAGUUCACCCAUACCUUCCAACCUCAGCAUAAAUUAAGUUUUGGCUAGCUAUUGGUGUUUUGUAGGAAUUAUGCCUGCUCAGUUAUUUAUUUUUAUAUUGUAGCAACUUUUUAUCCUGAUUCCUGCAGAAAGAAGGCUGAUGCAAUCAUACUGUGUGUGCUUGUGUCUCCGUCACUUCCAUAUCCCUGAUAUCUUUUGAACCUAUUGACAAAUUUCAACCAAUUGAUCUCUCAAAGAAAAUUGAGUUCCUACAAGCUUUGUGAAAAUAGCCUGCCAGAGAGCCCUCUCACAGAGGAGUAGGCCAUAGUGCAAACAGGCCUCAUUUCAGACAACAGAGAAUCCACUUGUGAGAAAGUGUUUAUUGAUAAAUGUCUUUCCAUGGGGAGGGUCUCAGGGAGAGCUUGUUCUUUCUUCGAUCUGCAGUCAAUCAAGUCUGAGGCUCGGGUCACUUAGGAGCUAGGCAUCGUAGCACUGAUCCCAACAGCAUGUGGGGAUACUGCUUUGCAGUAAUUUACCAACUUCAUUUGCAAGCAUUUACCAACUUCGCUACGUUUAAACUAAAUAUUCUUAAAAACCACUUAAACCUCUCCUCUCCUCUCCUCUCCUCUCCUCUCCUCUCCUCUCCUCUCCUCUCCUCUCCUCUCC
rnacentral:lncRNA from 1 species